rnacentral:misc_RNA from 1 species
AAGUCGUAACAAGGUUUCCGUAGGUGAACCUGCGGAAGGAUCAUUACUAUAUAUAUAUUUAAUAAUUUUUCUAUUUUAGUUUAUUUAUUAAUAUUUAUUUUAAAGUAAAUGUUUGUAAAUAAAUAUAUAGAAAAAUUUAUUAAAUCAUAUAAUUCUAUUUUAAUUGGUUACUUUUUCUAUGUUGAUUUCAUUAGAUAAAAUAAAAUAAAAAAAUAUUAUACUAUACUAUACUAUAUACUAUACUAUGAAUUCUAUUUUAUUUAAUUAAUGGAAAAGCACUUUUUAACUUUAUUAAAUUAGAAAAUUCAGGAAACUAAAUUUUUUUUUAAAAAGAAAACUUUCAACAACGGAUCUCUUGGCUCUU